rnacentral:rRNA from 1 species
AGCACCACAACGGGUGGAGCUUGCGGUUUAAUUGGAUUCAACGCCGGAAAUCUUACCGGGACCGACAGCAAUAUGAAGGCCAGGCUGAAGACUUUGCCGGAUUAGCUGAGAGGUGGUGCAUGGCCGUCGUCAGUUCGUACUGUGAAGCAUCCUGUUAAGUCAGGCAACGAGCGAGACCCACGCCCACAGUUGCCAGCGUACUCUCCGGAGUGACGGGUACACUGUGGGACCGCCGCUGCUAAAGCGGAGGAAGGAAUGGGCAACGGUAGGUCAGUAUGCCCCGAAUAUCCCGGGCUACACGCGAGCUUCAAUGGUUGGUACAAUGGGUAUCUACCCCGAAAGGGGACGGGAAUCUCCUAAAACCAAUCUUAGUUCGGAUUGAGGGCUGCAACUCGCCCUCAUGAAGCUGGAAUCCGUAGUAAUCGCGUUUCAACAGAACGCGGUGAAUACGUCCCUGCUCCUU